GAUGAACGCUGGCGGCGUGCCUAAUACAUGCAAGUCGAGCGAACAGAUGGGAGCUUGCUCCUCUGACGUUAGCGGCGGACGGGUGAGUAACACGUGGAUAACCUACCUAUAAGACUGGGAUAACUUCGGGAAACCGGAGCUAAUACCGGAUAAUAUAUUGAACCGCAUGGUUCAAUAGUGAAAGACGGUUUUGCUGUCACUUAUAGAUGGAUCCGCGCCGCAUUAGCUAGUUGGUAAGGUAACGGCUUACCAAGGCAACGAUGCGUAGCCGACCUGAGAGGGUGAUCGGCCACACUGGAACUGAGACACGGUCCAGACUCCUACGGGAGGCAGCAGUAGGGAAUCUUCCGCAAUGGGCGAAAGCCUGACGGAGCAACGCCGCGUGAGUGAUGAAGGUCUUCGGAUCGUAAAACUCUGUUAUUAGGGAAGAACAAAUGUGUAAGUAACUAUGCACGUCUUGACGGUACCUAAUCAGAAAGCCACGGCUAACUACGUG
rnacentral:rRNA from 1 species